AUUGAACGCUGGCGGCAGGCCUAGCACAUGCAAGUCGAGCGGAUGAAGGGAGCUUGCUCCUGGAUUCAGCGGCGGACGGGUGAGUAAUGCCUAGGAAUCUGCCUGGUAGUGGGGGAUAACGUCCGGAAACGGGCGCUAAUACCGCAUACGUCCUGAGGGAGAAAGUGGGGGAUCUUCGGACCUCACGCUAUCAGAUGAGCCUAGGUCGGAUUAGCUAGUUGGUGGGGUAAAGGCCUACCAAGGCGACGAUCCGUAACUGGUCUGAGAGGAUGAUCAGUCACACUGGAACUGAGACACGGUCCAGACUCCUACGGGAGGCAGCAGUGGGGAAUAUUGGACAAUGGGCGAAAGCCUGAUCCAGCCAUGCCGCGUGUGUGAAGAAGGUCUUCGGAUUGUAAAGCACUUUAAGUUGGGAGGAAGGGCAGUAAGUUAAUACCUUGCUGUUUUGACGUUACCAACAGAAUAAGCACCGGCUAACUUCGUGC
rnacentral:rRNA from 1 species